ACCCUCUACUGGCAGGUGAGUUUCUAUCCUUGGGUUUGCUCGAUGCUGAAUCCUACUCCCAACUGAAUGAAACUAACUGAUUAUACUGAACUGAUUUCUUAGUCCAUACUAGAAUUAACUGAACUGUUACUGAUUGUUCUAUUUAACUGAACUAAACAUGGAUGAAAUUUAUUGAGUUCUGAUGACUAGCGGAACACUACUGAAUUUUGUUAACUGACUAAAUGCAACUGAGUUCUGUUAGCUGAUUGAGUUUACUGAUGUUUGAACUGAAUACUAUACUAAAUUGUACAGAGAGAAUUUGUUGAAAUUAAAUCCCCAAUUGCAAACCCUCUUCUUGUUCUUGAUGAAUUUUGAGAGAAAUCAAACAUAUGUUGCUAAAUUAUGAUGAAUCUCGUCUUUGUGUGUAUAUAUAUAGAGGUGGGAAAGACUAAAAUACCCCUGGAGAAAGAGAGAAAGAUGAAACUGUCCUCUGUUGUUUUCAAGCUGAUAGGCUGAAGUAAAUUGAUCAUAAGUUUUUACUCCAAUGUUUAAAUUGGAUGAAACUAAUUGCAUUGGAAAGAAGACUCAAAGAUAUUUCUAUUGAUAUAUAGCAUCUCUUACAGUUCAUUAUAUGCAGGAAGUUAUGAUAGUUUGAAAUUGGCUGAAAUUUUUGACCUGAAAUACGCCCGGAAUGCGGGAGCAUUUCAAACCAGUGAGUUAGCCACUGAAAUGCGCCCGGAAUGUGUCCAAUACAUACUAGGGACUUUCCCCAUCGCAACUCAACUUGAAAAUCUAAAAACGGAGGUUGGGAAGGUUAUCAAAUAAAUCCCCGAAGUUAGGAGGUCUAAAAUGAGAGUAAGCGUUGAACUUGAACACUUAGCAAAAAAAAUUUCUAAGUGUUGGAAUCUCUCGUGGAGCUUUAUGAGAUGAAUUUGACAUGUGAUUUUUUUACGGGGUCUUACAAUAUCUCUCCCUUGAGAACAUUCGUCCUCGAAUGAGACUAAGUGAAAGGGGAAAAAAGACAACUGACGUGAGUACUGAGCAUAAACGACUGAAUAUGAUUUCAUGGCUAACAUGACUGACAAGCUAAAUAUAUCAUACUGAACAUGCAUAUCUGAUGCAUGCAUAACUGAUUUAUGAAUGAAGGACUGAGUGUUCUGAUGAACUAAGUUUUCUCAAAAUGAGAAUGCAUAUUUGAUGCACAACUGCUAAGCUGAGUCCAUGCAUAUCUGAUGCAUGAUUAUAUGACUGACGUGAUACGUGAAUACAUGACUGAAAGUAUUUAUAAGCUGACCACACGUAUCUGAUGUGUGGAUACAUGACUGAACUGACUUAUGAACAUACGACUGAAUAUGCAAUGGUAAUGGUACCAAGUUUCGUACUGAAAUCUGAACACGAGAAUGAGUAAGUUCAAGGAAGACUGUUACAUUGAACUGAAAAUACCGAUGAGUCUGAGAUUAAUCACUCAAUAUGCAUGAGCAAAAAUAUGAGAACAUAACUGAGUCUGGAACAUGAUACAUAAGUUGAACUGAAUCUGUAACGUGUGACAUGGACAGAGCAUCGUGGGCUAAACUGAGCCAUUAAGAACAUAGAUUACGACUAAAAUUUAGAGCUAGAGGGUCAGCUUAUAAGUAACCCUUCCUCCAGCUAGAUUCAUCUAGAGAAAAGAAAGUGGCAUGUUUAAAUCACAUAAGGUCGGGGGAUAUAGGGUAUCUCCCCCUUGGGUCCUUUGAAGAAUACUGACUUAGUUGAGAUACUAAGGAAAACUAAGGCGGUGUACAAGGCACUUACGAACAGAAUUGUGACUUAAUAGCUGGGAUUUGAAACUGAGACAUAAUGUAUGAACUUAGCUGAUUAUGAGUGCAUAAAUAUACUAACUUAUCUGAUUAACUGAAUAACUGGUAACUGAAUACUGGGUAUACAAGACUGAAUUGUACUUAGUCUGAAUAGCUAGACUGAGACCAUAGAGUAUUAUGCAUACGAGAAGGGACUGACUGACUAACAUGAGGUAGCUGAGCAUGGAUUUACCAAAAAGGUUUGAACUGAGGAUUACAUGAUGUGGUAUGAAUUUAUCUGAUCUGUAGGGGCAUAUCAUGAGUCAUGAAAGCUAAGUAUACUGUAAAGCAUGAUACAUGUACAUGAGUUAUGAGCUGAAUGACCUAAGUUUUGAGUUUUUUGUAUUUGUGAGACAUGAUUCAUGACACUGAGUGAUUUAGAUCUGACUCCCUAUGCUGGGAACUGAAAGCGCACACGAUUCUAUGGAAAACAUGUGGACAUAAGCCAUGUUCAUAGAAUUGAUUCAUACUGCUGGGUAAACUGAGAUCCUUUAUACUGGGAACUGAAACCGUACAUGAUUUAUAGAAAAGUGCAUGAUCGUAGUUCAUGACCAUAGAUUUGAUAUGUAAGACCUGAGUGGAUUUCGUGAUAGCUGAAAUACAAAUCUUUGUACUGAGAAGAGGAUGGGUUGGGAAUCGUCUUCGCUUACUGCUUUUCUAUACAUACUGGCACUACUACUGGAAUUUGAGAGUCUGACUUGGUCACUUGAUCUAUCAUCACAUACUUAUACUCUGUUCGACACCUGCCCAUCCUACUAAACACAUCAUCUACUUCUGUUUUCUCAUAUACUACUAAUAUCACAUCUAUACCUUCAUGCUUUAUUUCAAGUAAAUAAAAUUAAAUUCUAGGUUACACUAUUCAAGCCUCCUGAUUUACCUUGGUACAACUAUCCCAAUGAAUACAUAAUCUAAUCAGACUAGAUAAUACUAUCCCAACUCAUCUAAUGCUAAACUCUUGGGUCCAUGCUUAAAUUCUAGGUCUAUACUAUCAUAGGAUUCUGAGAAGGGAUCUAACGGCAUAUCAAAAAUUGGAUUUGAAUUUAAAAAGGAGUUCUCAUGAUCAUAAAUGAAAUCUAUACAACUUUGGAACAUGACUGAACUGAGGGGAUAUUGUCUGAGCAUGUGGAAAAUCCCAUAACUAUCUCCAGGGACUACAUGAGAAAGUCCUAUCUUUAGGACUUGAGCUUCACUAUUUCUGUUACCUUGAAAAUAAGGUAAGGUUGACAUUAGGGGAGCCUGAUGUGAAUCUACAUGGGUUCCUUAGAAAAACUUACUAUAGCACAAUCUUGAGACAUGAAAGAAGGGAAACUAUUCCUAAAACAUCUCAUAGCCUCCUGCACAUAAAUAUGGUGCACAACAUGCCCAUGUACAAGACUCUACUUGAUGUAGAUUUCAAACUUUCUAGGACACUAUUGAACCUUAGGCUCUGAUACCAAAUUUGGUACGCCCCAAUUUUCUGAACCGAAAUGCUACACGGUGCUCAUGACCCCGAAGGACCACAAGCUAACCCAUGACUAAUAUUUAUACCUGUAAACUGCAUAAUAUCUCAUAAAAUAUAUGGAAACAUAAACUGUAAGGCCAUAAGGUUCAAUACUGAUAUAUAUCUGAAAAACAUGGUAUAACAAUACCAAAAAGAAACAUAAAUACUGAAGUCUAAAUAUCUAAUCUGACAUCUAGUUCGAAAGCCUCUAACUGAACUGAAUAAGGAGUUGAAGGAACAUGUAUCCAACUAACUCCAUGAACUAAAAAACUAAUCUGAAAUACUGUAAUAAAGUAAUAAUAAUAUUAUCCUUGAAUGAAGAGGAGCACUGACUACUGAAAUUUACAAUGCUACUGCUGCUCUGAACCUCGUGCCUCUGUACCUAUGGUGUCAAAUAAAACACCAUAGCACGAAUGCAUCAGUACGACUGAAUGUACUAAGUAUACGAGUGAGGUAGGCUAAAUGCAAAGGGUUUUAUAUGCAUGAACAAUGCUAACUGAUAUGAAUGUGAGAAUACAUACAUACAUACGUAACCACAACUAAACUCGUAGUGAUACUAACUAGCUGAGUCUGAAUACUGACAACAUAAGUUUGCUGAUGCUAAGAUACUGAAUGACUGAGUUUACUGAUAUUGAGAUACUGAAUGACUAAGUUUACUGAUAUUGAUAUGUAAUCCACUAAUAAGUGAGGAACUGAUACUGUAUUAUUGAAUACUGGGAGACUGAUACUAUAUUACUGAUAAAGGAAUGAUUGUUUCUGAUAGUUCUGAUUAUGAAGAAUUGAUUUGAUUGACCGUAUAUAACAGUCCUAAAACUGAGCUCAUGAUAACAUGACUACUGAAUAUGAAUACUGAUGACAUGUAUUUACUGAUAACAUAUCAUGAAUGAUAAUUGAAUUCUAAUAAUUGAUAUAUCUGAUAACAUGAGUUCUGAUAAUUGAUAGCAUAAAUGACUGUAUCUGACAGUCCUAAAUCUGAUGGAACUAGCUGAGUUUCGUACUGUAUCUGAGUUGACUGUAUCUGACAGUCCUGAUAUCCUGAAGAACUAUCUAAAUUCUUUUACUGAGACUGAUACUGAAACUGUAGGAAGUAGUUAUCUAACUGACAUGCCCCAAAUACGCUAUAAUAACUAAGUUAGCAUCUAAUCUCUGCCCUGAUUAAAAGGGUGUCAAUACUAUGCCACUGGUAAGGACAAGUUGUGAGUGACCCUCAUCUAUCAGGUACUCUAAUGAGAACGGUGGGAACCCUAUCUGACAGGUUAAUCUACCUUAUCUACCCUCAGCUAAUAGGUAUUGAAGUCUCAACCUAUGUUGGCUACAUAGUUCUAGAACACAAGGACUGCUUCUAAGAAUCACACCCUUUACUGGCAGGUGAGUUCCUAUCCUUGGGUUCGCUCGGUGCUGAAUCGUACUCCCAACUGAAUGACACUGAACUGAUUAUACUGAACUGAUUUCCUAGUUCAUACUAGAAUUAACUGAAUUGUUACUGAUUGUUCUGUUUAACUGAACUGAACAUGGACUGAGUUUAUUGAGUUCUGAUGACUAGCGGAACACUAUUCAAUUCUGUUAACUGACUAAAUGCUACUGAGUU
rnacentral:lncRNA from 1 species